CUUGUAGGCAGCCAGAGUCUGACCUUUUUAGUCUGCCGUCCCGAGGCUGUGUUUAAAAUUAGGCCCCUUGAGCCAGGGGCUGCUGUGGUCCUGCUCUGGGGAAGUGGCCUCAACAGAGGCUCCUGUGCUGGGACCCUGAAGCCGGGCGCCCCAGGCUGGCCGCCGCCCUGCCCCUUUGAGGACGAGCCUGCCUGGGUGGUUUAGCCUGCUGAAGUCCUGCAGGGGCCGGCUCUUCCCAGGCCCCUGGGCCCGGGUCACAGUGCUGGGAGCUGAGACGUGGGGACCUCGUCCUGAUGGCAAGCCCCGCACCCUCCUUCUCAGGAUGGUCUUUCCAUUCGAAAGAUGGGGAAAUGAGCCUUGCCCAAGAAACCGAUAUUGGCAGUUUCUUGUGCAUCGUUCCAGAGAAGGACGGUCUGGCCAGCCUUUCUCAGCGGGGAUAGAGGUAGGUCUUCAUGUCCCAAGGCCUCCGCUAUGUGAGGGAAUGAGUUUCUCUCCUCUGCGUCUGGAGUGGUACCAGUUAUGCCUCAUCCUUGAGUGAACUGAGAAAAUAUUCCCUCAUGUCAUUUUCUGUAUUCUGUGGUUCAGAUCUUGACCUAUAGAAGGUCAAUUGAAUAAACUGUUUCUUUCAUUUUUGUUUUUCCUCCCAUAUCUCUUGUUGAGUCAGCUCACCGUACCUGCCUUUCCCAUCAGCUGGCUGUCUUCCUUAGGAGGCACUGGGAACCUCUGCUCCCUGCUUUGUUGCGUCUCUUAUUAUGUUUUUUCCUCUUGUGUCUCUUGUUGUGUCAGCUUGCCAUACCUGCCUGUCGUGCCAGCUCGCUGUCUUCUUUAGAAGGCACCGGGAUCCAAACCAGAGACCUCCUGUAUGGCAGGCAGGAGCCCAGUGGCCUGAGCUGCAUCUGCUUCCCUGAAUAAACUGUUCCAUACCUCUUUUUUUUUUUUUUCUCUCUCUUACUUUAUCAUCAGCUGAUGGAGAGCUGCCUCUUUCUGGUUAUUUAACCCACCUCCUCUGAUGGGGUGUGUCGAUCGACUCCGGUGUUUUACCUCUAUACGUGAUGUUUCGCGUACGUCUUCAUGCACAAGUGUGAGGAUAUCUGUGAGAUAAAUUCCUAGAGGAACAAGAUGUUACUGAUUUGUGUCAAAACUGCACUGGUGCCCAGGCUUCUAGGAACAAGUGCAAAAAGAUUUUGCAGCCAGUCUGGAGGAAUUUGGCCAGGGCUAUCUGGAGAGCCUGGAUGUGCACACAAUCUGAAAGUUAGGCGAGGACAACAGGAAUUCCAGCUGUUCUGGAAGAG
rnacentral:lncRNA from 1 species